GGCAUGCCUAACACAUGCAAUUCGCGCGGGCGGUAGCAAUACCGUUAGCGGCGGACGGGUGAGGAACACAUAGGAAUUUGCCUUUAGGUGGGGGAUAGCCCAGGGAAACUUGGAGUAAUACCGCAUGAUGUCGCAAGACCAAAGCAGGGGAUCGCAAGACCUUGCGCCUUUAGAGGAGCCUAUGUCUGAUUAGCUAGUUGGUAGGGUAAUGGCCUACCAAGGCGACGAUCAGUAACUGGUCUGAGAGGACGAUCAGUCACACUGGAACUGAGACACGGUCCAGACUCCUACGGGAGGCAGCAGUGGGGAAUAUUGGACAAUGGGCGCAAGCCUGAUCCAGCAAUGCCGCGUGUGUGAAGAAGGCCUUCGGGUUGUAAAGCACUUUAGGCCGGGAAGAAAAAAUCAGGGCUAAUAUCCUUGAUCUUGACGGUACCGGAAGAAUAAGCACCGGCUAACUCUGUGCCAGCAGCCGCGGUAAUACAGAGGGUGCGAGCGUUAAUCGGAUUUACUGGGCGUAAAGCGUGCGUAGGUGGUUGUUCAAGUCGGUUGUGAAAUCCCUGGGCUUAACCUGGGAACUGCUUCCGAGACUGAGCGACUAGAGUACGGUAGAGGGCGGUGGAAUUUCCGGUGUAGCGGUGAAAUGCGUAGAUAUCGGAAGGAACACCAAUGGCGAAGGCAGCCGCCUGGGCCUGUACUGACACUGAGACACGAAAGC
rnacentral:rRNA from 1 species